CCCUUAGAUGUUCUGGGCCGCACGCGCGCUACACUGAUGCAUUCAACGAGUUUCUUCCUGGUCCGAGAGGAAUGGGUAACCUUUUGAAAGUGCAUCGUGAUAGGGAUAGAUUAUUGCAAUUAUUAAUCUUCAACGAGGAAUGCCUAGUAAGCGCAAGUCAUCAGCUUGCGUUGAUUACGUCCCUGCCCUUUGUACACACCGCCCGUCGCUCCUACCGAUUGAAUGGUCCGGUGAAGCGUUUGGACUAUGGUUUUCUGAUGGUCCGCCGUUGGAUUACCGUGGGAAGUUCGUUAAACCUUAUCAUUUAGAGGAAGGAGAAGUCGUAACA
rnacentral:rRNA from 1 species